GACGAACGCUGGCGGCGUGCUUAACACAUGCCAGUCGAACGGGAAGUCCGGGCUUUUGUGCGCUCCUGUACUGAAGCACGGGGGAGUAACACUUGAGUUCCCUGUCCCUCCCCUUGAGGUAUCUUCAUGCCACAGAAUCUCUUACCACCUAGGAGCUCCUGCUGCUGGGUGGGCCCUCGUUAGAUUCGGUGGUUGGGGAUGUAAUCGCGGCUCAUCAGCUCGUUGGUGGGGUAGUCGCUUACCAAGGCCUUGCAGGGUAGCAGGCCUGAGAGGGUGACCGGCCACACUGGGACUGAGAUACGGCCCAGACUCCUACGGGAGGCAGCAGUGGGGAAGAUUGCACAAUGGGCGGAAGCCUGAUGCAGCAACGCCGCGUGCGGGAUGACGGCCUUCGGGUUGUAAACCGCUUUUGCCUGGGACGAAGCGAGAGUGACGGUAACGGGAGAAGAAGCACCGGCUAACUACGUG
rnacentral:rRNA from 1 species